UACGAAGGGGGCUAGCGUUGUUCGGAAUCACUGGGCGUAAAGGGCGCGUAGGCGGCUUGAUCAGUCGGGGGUGAAAGCCCGGGGCUCAACUCCGGAAUUGCCUUUAAGACUGCAUCGCUAGAAUUGUGGAGAGGUAAGUGGAAUUCCGAGUGUAGAGGUGAAAUUCGUAGAUAUUCGGAAGAACACCAGUGGCGAAGGCGACUUACUGGACACAUAUUGACGCUGAGGUGCGAAAGCGUGGGGAGCAAACAGG
rnacentral:rRNA from 1 species